UAACUUGUGGUCAGCUGAGGGAGGGGGAAGGGUAUUGCAUGCAUCCCUGUGUGUGGGUCUCUAGGUAAAAAAGCCAAAGAGACACAUGAGGAUUUAUCUCCAGAAGAAAAUAAGUUGCUCCCCUCUCCUGCAACUGUAUGGGUGGCAGUUGAGGCUUCCAGGAUAAAGAGACAAAUGAUUCUAAGCCCUGAGGGAACAGAUUAAGGCCUAGGCUUAAGGGCUAAGAACUUGCUAUCCUUUGUGAAACCUACAGUGGAUGCCCAGGCCUAGUCAGUUCUACAGGGAACCAAGAAUGAUAAAGAACAUUUUGAGCUCUUUGACAGCUAGCAGAGGUGCCAGAGCAUGCAGCUGACACAGCAGAAAAGAAUAUUAAGAGUCUGCAACACUGAAAACCGGGAAGUAAGUGCUUAUCUUUCACCUUGAAUAAUAGAGUGGCAGAUCCACAGAAACUGUAGACCAAAACGGAUUUUAAUAGAGGAAGAGUA
ensembl:lncRNA